rnacentral:lncRNA from 1 species
ACAUCAAGAAGCAUUACCUCUCUUACAUGUAACAUCUGGUUUCUGUUGUAGUGAGUUCGAUCGAGGCCAUGGAGUUGGGAUUCUCCAGUCUGCAAUAUUUCAGGAAAAAUACAAACUACUCGCAUAUAUGAAUCAUCAACCAAAGAGGUGACAAAAAAAUAUAUUGUUAAUCCAAAACAGUUAGGAUUUUGAGCUGCAUAAAAACCAAAAAAU